AGAGAUCCUUCCUCUUGGAGCCCUUCCACGAGCCCAGGACAUGGUUACUUAGGCUCCUGGCCAACUGCAAACCACCAGUACUGAAGAAAAGCUGCCUAUGAGUUAUCAGUUAACUCAGACUUACCUUGUACCAACCAAGACACUCAGAUCCCAAUUUGAGGUUCACUUCCUGAUGGCUCAGAGCAUGCGAUGAUGAGUUUCUCAUUCAGCUGAAAGAAGAAUACACAGCAUUUGUACCUUCAACAGUCUAAUGAAUGUACUUCUGGUUCUUGGGAUGUAGAAAAGCUACAGAGCUUGUGUGGUUGUACUGCAAGAAAACUCAGUCUCUGAAAGGUCAGAGGGUACUUCAAGUACUCAUUGACGUGGCUUCCACUCCUAGUUCUCACUGUAAGAGAUAAAAUUUAAAAAAAAAAAAACCAAAAACAUGGGUGCAGUUUAAUCACAGAGUCUGUGAUCCACACUGAGGGCUUGCAGUAGUGAAGAGUGAGAGGAAAAGAUGUGAACAUCUCCCAGGCAUGUGCUCAAAAGGAUCAGCCCAGCAACGAAAGCAGGACAGCCUUGUACCCAGCUUCAUCUCCUCCCUGGGAUCUGCCUCUCUGACACAGUGUGAGAGGAAAUGUCUGCCACAUUCUAUCACAUAAGUUCCACAGAGCAGUGCAGCAGCUCGCUGGGCACUCACACAGUGGUUUGAUGUAGCUACUCAAGCAGUGUUACUAGAAAGAAACUCUGCAUAACUGUCCUGUAAAAUAACUGCAGUCUGCAUCUCAGGAAGUUGGGAGAUAUAAGGCAAGCUUCUCUGGCAAGGAUUUGAGAAAGAGAGAAUGACAUUGCAUUAGUAUGUGACUAACCUAAUCGUUUACUGCCAACAAUAUACAGCCUUCCCAUCUGCAGAAGCUACUGAUUCUAUAAUGUCACCCACGCAAGCACUUUGCAUUUCUAUCUAUAUAGUGUACGUAUAUAGUUACAUAUCUCAGACUACACUAUUUUUGACAGAGAACAUGUCUGUGUAUUUUGGACUAUAAACCUGAAAAUUAUCUAUUUUUGGUUUUAGUAAUCUAGAAGUGAGGUCUAUAGCUAGACAUAAACUCUACGAGAUGCUGCUUAUCUCACUUGAACAACACUGUUCAUCCCAGUUAGAUAAUCUUCUCAAAACAGAAACACUACUGUGCUUUGAGGCAAAACUUCAGAGCCAGAAUUCUGAAUGAAGCAUGUGUGUGUAUAUAUAUAUAUAUAUAUAUAUACACACGCACACGUCAUUUGAGAUGUGUGUAUAUAUAUAUAUAUAUACAUGUAGUUAUACAUGAUCAGUUUAUUAUACUUCUUUUUUUUCCUUGUCACUGAUUCAUUCCUCCAUCUUCACUGACAUGAGACAGAAGUGCUCUGAUAGAGCAAACCAGAGAUGGGACAGUCUUCUUUAAUACACCUGUCCCAAUUCAAUCCUUCCCUCAGGAAGCCACUUACAAUCAUUUAUAUGAUGACAAAUGUUGCUUAGCAGAUGAACAAUGUAAGUAGUUUGAUCCAGAUUGAAUAACAUCUUAUUCUAACUGAAACUACUUUUUUUCCCAAUGACUAAUCAAAGAUGUUCUCCAAGAAAGACAGAAAACACUGAGUAAUCUUACACUGUCACUAAGUUUCACAAAAAUACUUCAAAUUAAUGGGGUACUUUUUCACUGAUUUGGAUGGAAAGACAGUGUCUCAUUUGAAACUAGAAUUUAAGAGCAAGUGCUUUUGCUGAAAUGCUUGUUUGGAAACGUAAAACUGAUUGCAUAAAAGCAGCUUAACAUCGAGAAAUAGAGUGAAGUUAGAAAAAUAGCUGAGAGUCAACUUUGUGGCUUUCAUAGAAUAAAAUUCCAAAGAAAAAGACAAAUAUCUUAUCUGAAAAGAUGAAAACCAAAAUAAAAAUGUUUGCAAAUAUGCAUUGCUCUGGCAUUAUUGUUGGACAUUAAUAUCACGGAGACAGCAAUAUUCAGUGACUGCAGCACCACACUAAUUCUCAGUUUUAUUCCUCAUUACUGGAUGAUCUUGAAAUAUUUGCCUCAUCUGUCUCUGCCUUAUGUAUUCUGUUUGCAAAACGAGUUGUAAUAUUAACCUUUUUCAUAAACCACUUUGAGAU
ensembl:lncRNA